GGCCAAGUUUUUAAGGGCGCACGGUGGAUGCCUUGGCACCAGGAACCGAUGAAGGACGUGGGAGGCCGCGAUAGGCCCCGGGGAGCUGUCAACCGAGCUGUGAUCCGGGGUGUCCGAAUGGGGAAACCCGGCAGUCGUCAUGGGCUGUCACCCGCUGCUGAACACAUAGGCAGUGUGGAGGGAACGCGGGGAAGUGAAACAUCUCAGUACCCGCAGGAAGAGAAAACAACCGUGAUUCCGGGAGUAGUGGCGAGCGAAACUGGAUGAGGCCAAACCGUAUGCGUGUGGAUACCCGGCAGGGGGUUGCGUAUGCGGGGUUGUGGGAUCUCUCUUUCAUAGUCUGCCGGCUGUGAGACGAGUUAGAAACCGUUGAUGUAGGCGAAGGACAUGCGAAAGGUCCGGCGUAGAGGGUAAGACCCCCGUAGUCGAAACGUCAGCGGCUCGUUUGAGAGACACCCCAAGGUAGCACGGGGCCCGAGAAAUCCCGUGUGAAUCUGGCGGGACCACCCGUUAAGCCUAAAUAUUCCCUGGUGACCGAUAGCGGAUAGUACCGUGAGGGAAUGGUGAAAAGUACCGCGGGAGCGGAGUGAAAUAGUACCUGAAACCGUGUGCCUACAAGCCGUGGGAGCGUCGCACAUCAAGCUUGCUUGGUGUGUCGUGACUGCGUGCCUUUUGAAGAAUGAGCCUGCGAGUUUGCGGUGUGUUGCGAGGUUAACCCGUGUGGGAAGCCGUAGCGAAAGCGAGUCCGAAGAGGGCGACCUAGUAGCGCGCCCAAGACCCGAAGCGGGGUGAUCUAGCCAUGGGCAGGUUGAAGCGGAGGUAAGACUUCGUGGAGGACCGAACCCACCAGGGUUGAAAACCUGGGGAUGACCUGUGGUUAGGGGUGAAAGGCCAAUCAAACUCCGUGAUAGCUGGUUCUCCCCGAAAUGCAUUUAGGUGCAGCGUCGUGUGUUUCUUGCCGGAGGUAGAGCACUGGAUAGGCGAUGGGCCCUACCGGGUUACUGACCUUAGCCCAAACUCCGAAUGCCGGUAAGUGAGAGCGCGGCAGUGAGACUGUGGGGAUAAGCUCCAUGGUCGAGAGGGAAACAGCCCAGAGCAUCGACUAAGGCCCCUAAGCGUACGCUAAGUGGGAAAGGAUGUGGAGUCGCAGAGACAACCAGGAGGUUGGCUUAGAAGCAGCCACCCUUGAAAGAGUGCGUAAUAGCUCACUGGUCAAGUGAUUCCGCGCCGACAAUGUAGCGGGGCUCAAGCGUACCGCCGAAGUCGUGUCACUGCAGCAUGAGACCUAACGGUUGUUGUGGUGGGUAGGGGAGCGUCGUGUGCCGGGUGAAGCAGCGCCGGAAGGUAGUUGUGGACGGUUCACGAGUGAGAAUGCAGGCAUGAGUAGCGAAUACCACGUGGGAAACGUGUGCGCCGAUUGACUAAGGGUUCCUGGGUCAAGCUGAUCUGCCCAGGGUAAGUCGGGACCUAAGGCGAGGCCGACAGGCGUAGUCGAUGGACAACCGGUUGAUAUU
rnacentral:ncRNA from 1 species